rnacentral:rRNA from 1 species
UACGGGAGGCAGCAGUGGGGAAUAUUGCACAAUGGGCGAAAGCCUGAUGCAGCUAUGCCGCGUGUAUGAAGAAGGCCUUAGGGUUGUAAAGUACUUUCAUCGGGGAGGAAAAACAAAACUAAUAAUUUUAUUUCUUGACGUUACCCGAAAAAGAAGCACCGGCUAACUCCGUGCCAGCAGCCGCGGUAAUACGGAGGGUGCUAGCGUUAAUCAGAAUUACUGGGCGUAAAGAGCACGUAGGUGGUUUUUUUAAGUCAGAUGUGAAAUCCCUGGGCUUAACCUAGGAACUGCAUUUUGAAACUGAAAUACUAGAGUAUCGUAGAGGGAGGUAGAAUUCUAGGUGUAGCGGUGAAAUGCGUAGAUAUCUGGAGGAAUACCUGUGGCGAAAGCGGCCUCCUAAACGAAUACUGACACUGAGGUGCGAAAGCGUGGGGAGCGAAACAGGGAUCAGAUACC